rnacentral:rRNA from 1 species
AUUGAACGCUGGCGGCAGGCUUAACACAUGUAAGUCGAGCGGAUGAGUGGAGCUUGCUCCAUGAUUCAGCGGCGGACGGGUGAGUAAUGCCUAGGAAUCUGCCUGGUAGUGGGGGACAACGUUUCGAAAGGAACGCUAAUACCGCAUACGUCCUACGGGAGAAAGUGGGGGAUCUUCGGACCUCACGCUAUCAGAUGAGCCUAGGUCGGAUUAGCUAGUUGGUGAGGUAAAGGCUCACCAAGGCGACGAUCCGUAACUGGUCUGAGAGGAUGAUCAGUCACACUGGAACUGAGACACGGUCCAGACUCCUACGGGAGGCAGCAGUGGGGAAUAUUGGACAAUGGGCGAAAGCCUGAUCCAGCCAUGCCGCGUGUGUGAAGAAGGUCUUCGGAUUGUAAAGCACUUUAAGUUGGGAGGAAGGGCAGUAAGUUAAUACCUUGCUGUUUUGACGUUACCAACAGAAUAAGCACCGGCUAACUUCGUGCCAGCCGCCGCGGUAAGAC